UACGAGGGGGGCGAGCGUUGUUCGGAAUUAUUGGGCGUAAAGGGUGCGUAGGCGGUUUGGUAAGUCUGAUGUGAAAUCUAUGGGCUCAACUCAUAGUCUGCAUUAGAAACUGCCGGGCUUGAGGAUGGGAGAGGUGAGUGGAAUUCCUGGUGUAGCGGUGAAAUGCGUAGAUAUCAGGAGGAACACCUGUGGCGAAAGCGGCUCACUGGACCAUUUCUGACGCUGAUGCACGAAAGCUAGGGGAGCAAACAGG
rnacentral:rRNA from 1 species